rnacentral:rRNA from 1 species
AUUGAACGCUGGCGGCAUGCCUAACACAUGCAAGUCGAACGGGAGUAGCAAUACUCUAGUGGCGGACGGGUGAGGAAUACGUAGGGAUUUGCCCUUAAGUGGGGGAUAGUCCAGGGAAACUUGGUUUAAUACCGCAUGAUCUCGAAAGAGCAAAGCAGGGGAGUCGCAAGACCUUGCGCUUUUGGAGAAACCUACGUCUGAUUAGCUAGUUGGUGAGGUAACGGCUCACCAAGGCGACGAUCAGUAACUGGUCUGAGAGGAUGAUCAGUCACACCGGAA